UUGGAAACAGACAUGUCAUGGCUGAGUUAUUUUUUGUGCAAACAAGGACCUCAGAUUCCUGACAACACUGUUGGCUUCCCGGAGACUCCUUCAUCCUGCAGAAGAUGCAAUUCCACGGGGUCCUGAGAGAUUGGACAUGGGUGGGAUGUGGCAGUCCUCAUGGAAGACUCUUGAACAAGUGUCGCAACAGAACAGCUCCCCUCCGUCCCGGCACACCUCACACUCAUCCAAGUUUCUCAUCUAGAAGACAUCUGGCUGUGGGCUGUGAGACAUAAACCUCCAUGUCAAGCUCAUACAAAAUCAGCCACGCAAACACUGACCUCCAGGGCUGUUUUAACCAUUCGUGAGUCCCUGAGUUGGCCGGGCAUCAAAAUCAGUGUGGAAAAGACCUAAAUCUGAUUGGAGGACUGCUUUGGAGGUUCUCAUUCACACCCAGUCUUCGAAAAACCAUCACCUUGUCCUGAAUCUACACUGCACUUAACCUAUUUGUUUGUUGCGUUCUUAAGUGAAGGAAAAAUCACUUUCACAGAUAAAAAGCAGGUCUGCACAGUCCCUCUGGUAGAACCAAAGAGGUGGCAUCAACAUAAAAGAUUUUCCUGGUCAGCUCCUCCUGUAAAAUACGUUUGCCUCUGGAGAUCUUCCUCCCCAAUGGCACCAUCUUGACAAAGAAUGGAACAGUCAUUCCUGGCACAGCCAAGGCUGGAACUCAGGCUUCCUAAUGUUAAAACCUGUGAUCAUCACCCAAGCCAAGCACCCUGCCUUGGUGACAGCACUCCAGAAGGGAGAGAGAAUAUGAAGCUUGAGGUUGAGGGCCUCUUCCCUUUUCUGUCUGAUUCAAAG
rnacentral:lncRNA from 10 species